UCUGCUUUGGGUUUUGUCUUUUUCAUUCUGGACAGCAGCUGUUUGUAACACCAGCCGAGCCUGCCUCCAGCCUGGCUGACUGGACCCUGUCAGCAAAGGAAGAGCAGGAAGCCUGCAGAGGAGGCAGUGGUGCUUGAGGAGGCUUUGUGCCCUGCCGGCUCAGCGCAGGCCUGGCAAUCAAACGCCCUGAAGCCUGCCCUCCAUGGCAAGAUUCCCUUGCUCGCCGGGCUGCGCUUAAGCUCCAGAAGGCUUGAAAGGAAGUGCUCAACAACCGUUUCCCUCUGUGUCAGCUGCCCCCUGCCCAGCGAGGCAAACAUUGACUUUCAGAUAAGCAUUGGA